CUCUCGCGGCCAGAUGUUGCAGACUCAAGGGUCUGCAUCCAGUGCGGAGAGAAUAAAGGAGUCCAUCUCCAUGCCGAAAGGCAAAAAAGUAAAAUUUUUAUGGAUGCCGACAGUAGCCGCAAGGCCAACUCCGCAACACAUAA
rnacentral:ncRNA from 1 species